GUAAUUCUCACAGCCCCUUGGAGUCAAUCAGCUGUAGGGGACUAACAAGACUUGCCCAACGUGUUUCCUCUUGCAAAUUAGUUACAGUUACAUUUCCCAUAAUUCUCUGCCAGCUAUCGAUGGACUAGAAAUCACAGACUGGCCUUGACCCAGCUAAAUUAACACGUUCAGCUCAAAACCAUCAUGAUAUCAUGAAAAGGAAAGCUUCUAUCGUGUUAAUGACA